AAGACUGAAUGUGCUGACUCCACAACCCUCGAGUUACUUGUUUAGUUACGGCCGGCAAGGAGCCUACCCCUGCUCAGAACACGUGAACAGCAGUCGAACUCGGUGAAGGCAUUUACUUUCAAGGUUUUACAAGAACACGGUCAAGGCGUUUAGUUUCAAGGUUUUACAAGGACACAAAUGUAAGCGUUGACAUUUCAUUAUAAUUUUUACAGGUUAUAGUUGUUGAUAAUUUACCCAUUCGUAGAAUUUGAUACCACAAGAAACAUACAACGAAUACGGCAGUUUCACAACAAACCCGGCAACGAAUAAGGCAGUUUCACAAGAAACCCGGCAACGAAUACGACAGUUUCAGAGUCAGUCUACGGAUUUACGGAUAGUUUACAGACUCAGGGACUACAGUUGGUGAACCCAAGGAUCAAGGACUCAAGAUACAUAUAUCCUUUCAUCGCUACAGUAAGCGGUAGUGUCGAAAUAAAGUUCAGAGUUGUUGUUAUCGAUCGGGGCCGGCGGGAGCUCCUCCCAUGGACAUGCCCAGCGCCUGGGCGAGCGUGAUGUAACAUCUAUCGGUUAGCGGGGUGAUGACAAGCCUGUCAGUGCAACCCAGGAACUCGUUUUGGUAGCUGAAAUCUACGUCAGUAAUGGAAACUAUGCAGUCGUCGAUAUCCUCUUUGAAGUAGAAGCGAGACUGUUUGAGCCAUUCGAAGUCUGUAACUGACCGGAUAUGCAUCUUUACCUACAAGAAUUUCAAAGGCAUUGACAUUUUUAAAUUAAUAAUAUUAGCAUACAGUGUUUCGUGAAACACCCUUUUCAUUACUCCCUAUCUUAACAUAAACACAAAUUUAAGUUAUUUGUGCAUUUUUUGUUUUUAGUUUUCGACAUGAGAGAAAAUAGAUAAGCGCGAUAAUUUCUACGUUUACUGUACUGGUACAUUCAUAACCAAUCGACCCGUUUAUAAUUCAUUAUAAUCAUUUGUUUGUCACAGGAGCACUUUACCAGAUCGUCAAAGAUGUCCCUCUGAUGCACGUGGAUGGUGACGAGCGUCUCGAACUUGGUGCGCUCCAUCUUGGUGAGCUCUUGAGUUGUGACGUCGAUAAGGGAGUUCAGCAGGUUCAGAAACUUCUGGUUGGUGGACGCCAUGAUUUUCUUGUCGUGACGCGCGUGUUUGAGCGCUUCUUCUGCGUCCCGGGUCCAUAUCAUCUGAAUGCCAAGCAAGCCAACCUGCCACGAGAAAAGCGCGUAACGUAGAAAAGCAGAUUCAAGUAAAGCGAGAACUGUGUAUGCAAAUGUGAUGAAAUCGUGAUAAAAACAAAGGAUCAAAGAAGUGAUGCCUGAAAAAAAAAAAAAAAAAAAAGAUUGUCUUCAUGACCCUACCUGGGCUGGAAAGGUAUUCAUGAAGGACAUGAGUGCGAACGCAGGGUCGUUGAUGGCGUGGAACGCAUCCCUGAUGACACCGUGCAAGGAACUCAUUGCCUGAUUCAGCAGGUCACCAAGCCAGAUCUCGACGUUGCCUUUUGCCAUCACGGCUGUCUCAAGCUAAAACAAAGAAUAGCCUCUUGAAAAAAACAGUUAUUGCAACUUACAGGGCUACUACGAAACUCCCUAGAACGGGACAACAAUGUUGUAUAGUGUUGAAUCCCAACGUUAUUGCCAUCGUUUGCUAUAUUACUGCUGUCAGUAGUAUAAAAAUAAUUUGCACUGUUUUACUGCCAUUUUCACACUCACCGGAACGGUUUCACCUUCAGACGACACAAUGGAUAGAAUCCUGUCGUAAUCUUUCUCGUGGAAAUCCACAGUUUUCACAUUGUCAAAGACGUUUAACAGGUGAGCCUGUAAACAGGUUGAAAGAGUUGCCUUAACUUUGGUUCCCUUGAUUACAAUGCCCCUUGAGUUCCUGCCCCAGCAGGUGCUUCAGGAAGACUUAUAACAAUACACCCUGCUGGUUACCUGGAUUGUAUGCGAGUCACUAGCUUGACCGAGAAUCUCGAGCAGCGCAGGAUCCGACACGAAAAAGAAUCGAGGAAACACGAGUCGCUUCUUCUCGAGAUAUCUGAAAGAGAAGGCAACCAUGAGCAUGACACCAGUGUGAUUGGUUGCUUGUAGUGUGGAAAGUCGUUUUAAGAAGAGGGCUCGCGUCCUUUACCGGGUAAACUAUGUGUAUCAUCAUGUGUUUCAAUUUUAAGUCAAAACGCCCCAAUAUUGUUUAGAAUAUGUCACUAGCAAGUUAAAUUAUAUACAUACAAUUAAGCCACCCUACAACUAUAGCACUCUAUAUCACUAUAGCACUCUGCUAUAUUUGUUAAUAAGCGAAGAGAUUUUAGUUGUUCUAGUAAAAAAAAGUAGUAUUCAAUAGGUACAUGACCUACCCUGUAAGGGAUUUCUGACAGAGCUCAAGCUGCUCUAGUAGAUGAGGUAGCAGCUGGCCCAUGGUCUCGUCUCCUACACAGCACGUGACUACAUUAGAUGUCUCGUGCGCACGUGUCAUGAUUUUCACCCACGACUUGUCGAUGUUCCCGAACCUCUUUGCUUCCUACAGUAACAAAUGAGUUGGUUUUAACGUCUUCAUAAAUAAUCUUCCCUUAAGAACAUUAAAAAAACAUGCUACCAUGUUGAAAAAAAAA